GGCGGGAUAGCUCAGACGGUAGAGCAAGCGGCUCAUAAUCGCUGUGUCACGGGUUCAAGUCCCGUUCCCGCUACCA
rnacentral:tRNA from 5 species